UUCAGGUGGGAGUGAAAAGCAGCUGCUUUCCUUGCCCUUUACAACCCAGUUAAGAAUUUGACUGACAGAAUGUUGGCACCAGCUGUGGAAGAGCUGAUCAGCCUCAACUCCAAAUCUCUAUCCUGAGACAUAACAACAGGAUGUGCCUUGGAGAAGAAUCUCAGGAUAGAGAAUUUUUGAUUGAGUUCCAAAUCUGCAAGUUCAGG